AUACGGAGGGUGCAAGCGUUGUGCGGAAUCACUGGGCGUAAAGGGCGCGCAGGCGGUUUGGUAAGUCAGAUGUGAAAGCCCACGGCUCAACCGUGGAAGUGCAUUUGAAACUGCCAGACUUGAGUACCUGAGGGGAAAGUGGAAUUCCCGGUGUAGAGGUGAAAUUCGUAGAUAUCGGGAGGAAUACCGGUGGCGAAGGCGACUUUCUGGCUGGAUACUGACGCUGAGGCGCGAAAGCGUGGGGAGCAAACAGAAUUAGAUACCCUAGUAGUCC
rnacentral:rRNA from 1 species